rnacentral:rRNA from 1 species
GACGAACGCUGGCGGCGUGCUUAACACAUGCAAGUCGAACGGAAAGGCCCUGCUUUUGUGGGGUGCUCGAGUGGCGAACGGGUGAGUAACACGUGAGUAACCUGCCCUUGACUUUGGGAUAACUUCAGGAAACUGGGGCUAAUACCGGAUAGGAGCUCCUGCUGCGUGGUGGGGGUUGGAAAGUUUCGGUGGUUGGGGAUGGACUCGCGGCUUAUCAGCUUGUUGGUGGGGUAGUGGCUUACCAAGGCUUUGACGGGUAGCCGGCCUGAGAGGGUGACCGGCCACAUUGGGACUGAGAUACGGCCCAGACUCCUACGGGAGGCAGCAGUGGGGAAUAUUGCACAAUGGGCGGAAGCCUGAUGCAGCAACGCCGCGUGCGGGAUGACGGCCUUCGGGUUGUAAACCGCUUUCGCCUGUGACGAAGCGUGAGUGACGGUAAUGGGUAAAGAAGCACCGGCUAACUACGUG